rnacentral:snoRNA from 1 species
AUCCUUUUUGGUUCAUAAGCAUGAUGAUUGGGUGUUCACGCCUUUGUAUGACAUGUGCCUCCCUCAGACCUUGUUACGAUGUCUGCACAUUACCCAUCUGACA